AAUAUUGCACAAUGGAGGAAACUCUGAUGCAGCGACUCCGCGUGAGUGAUUAAGGCCUUCGGGUCGUAAAGCUCUGUCGCAGGGUAAUAAGCAAGUUACUGUACCCUGAAAGAAAGGAUCGGCUAACUUCUUCCCAGCAGCCGCGGUAAGACGAGGGAUCCUAGCGUUGUUCGGAAUUAUUGGGCGUAAAGCGGGUGUAGGUGGCUUCGUAAGUCAGGUGUGAAAGCGCAGGGCUCAACCCUGGAAGUGCAUUUGAUACUGCGAAGCUUGAGUGUAGGAGAGGUUACUAGAAUUCUUGGUGUAGUGGUGAAAUACGUAGAUAUCAAGAGGAAUACCGGAGGCGAAAGCGGGUAACUGGCCUAACACUGACACUCAGACCCGAAAGCGUGGGGAUCAAACAGG
rnacentral:rRNA from 1 species